rnacentral:rRNA from 1 species
GAUGAACGCUGGCGGCGUGCCUAAUACAUGCAAGUCGAGCGAACAGACGAGGAGCUUGCUCCUCUGACGUUAGCGGCGGACGGGUGAGUAACACGUGGAUAACCUACCUAUAAGACUGGGAUAACUUCGGGAAACCGGAGCUAAUACCGGAUAAUAUAUUGAACCGCAUGGUUCAAUAGUGAAAGACGGUUUUGCUGUCACUUAUAGAUGGAUCCGCGCCGCAUUAGCUAGUUGGUAAGGUAACGGCUUACCAAGGCAACGAUGCGUAGCCGACCUGAGAGGGUGAUCGGCCACACUGGAACUUAGACACGGUCCAGACUCCUACGGGAGGCACCAGUAGGGAAUCUUCCGCAAUGGGCGAAAGCCUGACGGAGCACCGCCGCGUGAGUGAUGAAGGUCUUCGGAUCGUAAAACUCUGUUAUUAGGGAAGAACAAAUGUGUAAGUAACUAUGCACGUCUUGACGGUACCUAAUCAGAAAGCCACGGCUAACUACGUG